rnacentral:rRNA from 1 species
UACGUAGGGUGCAAGCGUUGUCCGGAAUUAUUGGGCGUAAAGAGCUCGUAGGCGGUUCGUCACGUCGGCUGUGAAAUCCCGAGGCUCAACCUCGGGUCUGCAGUCGAUACGGGCGGACUGGAGUACUGCAGGGGAGACUGGAAUUCCUGGUGUAGCAGUGAAAUGCGUAGAUAUCAAGUGGAACACCAGUGGCGAAGGCGAGUCUCUGGACAUUUCCUGACGCUGAGGCACGAAAGCCAGGGGAGCAAACGGG